GUGCCUAAUACAUGCAAGUCGAGCGGAAUGAUGAAGAAGCUUGCUUCUUCUGAUUUUAGCGGCGGACGGGUGAGUAACACGUGGGCAACCUACCUUGUAGAUUGGGAUAACUCCGGGAAACCGGGGCUAAUACCGAAUAAUCCAUUUUGCUUCAUGGCGAAAUGUUAAAAGGCGGCUUCGGCUGUCACUACGAGAUGGGCCCGCGGCGCAUUAGCUAGUUGGUAGGGUAACGGCCUACCAAGGCGACGAUGCGUAGCCGACCUGAGAGGGUGAUCGGCCACACUGGGACUGAGACACGGCCCAGACUCCUACGGGAGGCAGCAGUAGGGAAUCUUCCACAAUGGACGAAAGUCUGAUGGAGCAACGCCGCGUGAGUGAAGAAGGUUUUCGGAUCGUAAAACUCUGUUGUAAGGGAAGAACACGUACGAGAGUAACUGCU
rnacentral:rRNA from 1 species